UACGUAGGGUGCAAGCGUUGUUCGGAAUUACUGGGCGUAAAGCGCACGUAGGCGGAUAUUUAAGUCGGGGGUGAAAUCCCGGGGCUCAACCCCGGAACUGCCUUCGAUACUGGGUAUCUUGAGUUCGGAAGAGGUGGAGUGGAAUUGCGAGUGUAGAGGUGAAAAUUCGUAGAUAUUAGGAAGAACACCAGUGGCGGAAGGCGGCUCACUGGUCCGGUACUGACGCUGAGGUGCGAAAGCGUGGGGAGCAACAGGG
rnacentral:rRNA from 1 species